AUUGAACGCUGGCGGCGUGCCUAACACAUGCAAGUCGAGCGGUAACAGGUGUAGCAAUACAUGCUGACGAGCUGCGAACGGGUGAGUAAUGCUUCGGAAUCUACCUUAUGGUGGGGAAUAACUAGCCGAAAGGUUAGCUAAUACCGCAUACGUCCUACGGGAGAAAGCAGGGGAUCGCAAGACCUUGCGCCAAAAGAUGAGCCGAAGUCGGAUUAGCUAGUUGGUAGGGUAACGGCCUACCAAGGCGACGAUCCGUAGCUGGUAUGAGAGGACGACCAGCCACACUGGGACUGAGACACGGCCCAGACUCCUACGGGAGGCAGCAGUGGGGAAUAUUGGACAAGGGGGGAACCCUGAUCCAGCGACGCCGCGUGUGUGAAGUAGGCCUGCGGGUUGUAAAGCACUUUUAGUGGGGAUGAAAUGUGCAGGGUUAAUACCUCUGCAUUUUGACCUAGCCCACAGAAAAAGCACCGGCUAACUCUGUGCCAGCCGCCGCCGUAA
rnacentral:rRNA from 1 species